AUUAGGGUCAUACAAUUAACUAUAUUUCGAACUACUAAAAUACCAAAGAAUACUACAAUACUUUUUUCUACUAAUAAUACUCAUUUAUCAAUUGAUAACAACAAUGUGCAAUCUUACACUCUCAAAAGAAUGCUCAAAACACACAAAUUCCAUCCAACACUAGAAAUAAAAGUCUUCUACUCCAACCAAUCUGACUUCACAUAAUUUCUAUAAUCACAAACUUCUUCUGUCAAAAUACACACAACUCUCAAUUAAUAACAAUCAUAAUCUUCCAUCCAGAAUAAAUCUUCUACAAAAUCUGAUAAAAAAUUUCGAAUAUCUUCUCAUAAUAAUUUAAUUACACAGUAUUCCAAUUACAUACUCAAUAUCUCAUAAAUCAAUCUUUGAUUUAUUCCACAGAUUCACUUCACAAUAUUCAAAAACUAUCUAUUACUCUUCAACUAUAAAGAAAACAAAAAAAACAAAGAAAACAAAGAAGUAGCACCAAGCUUACUCUAGCUCAUGACUAUUACA
rnacentral:lncRNA from 1 species